CGUUAUCCGGAAUUAUUGGGCGUAAAGCGCGCGCAGGCGGUUCCUUAAGUCUGAUGUGAAAGCCCCCGGCUCAACCGGGGAGGGUCAUUGGAAACUGGGGAACUUGAGUGCAGAAGAGGAGAGUGGAAUUCCACGUGUAGCGGUGAAAUGCGUAGAGAUGUGGAGGAACACCAGUGGCGAAGGCGACUCUCUGGUCUGUAACUGACGCUGAGGCGCGAAAGCGUGGGGAGCGAACAGGAUUAGAUACCCUGGUAGUCCACGCCGUAAACGAUGAGUGCUAAGUGUUAGAGGGUUUCCGCCCUUUAGUGCUGCAGCAAACGCAUUAAGCACUCCGCCUGGGGAGUACGGUCGCAAGACUGAAACUCAAAGGAAUUGACGGGGGCCCGCACAAGCGGUGGAGCAUGUGGUUUAAUUCGAAGCAACGCGAAGAACCUUACCAGGUCUUGACAUCCUCUGACACUCCUAGAGAUAGGACUUUUCCCUUCGGGGAACAGAGUGACAGGUGGUGCAUGGUUGUCGUCAGCUCGUGUCGUGAGAUGUUGGGUUAAGUCCCGCAACGAGCGCAACCCUUGAUCUUAGUUGCCAGCAUUCAGUUGGGCACUCUAAGGUGACUGCCGGUGACAAACCGGAGGAAGGUGGGGAUGACGUCAAAUCAUCAUGCCCCUUAUGACCUGGGCUACACACGUGCUACAAUGGAUGGUACAAAGGGAAGCAAGACCGCGAGGUGGAGCGAAUCCCAUAAAACCAUUCUCAGUUCGGAUUGCAGGCUGCAACUCGCCUGCAUGAAGCCGGAAUCGCUAGUAAUCGCGGAUCAGCAUGCCG
rnacentral:rRNA from 1 species